CUGCUGGGAGCCUGCUGAAAAGAGAUACAAGGAUGACAUAGUUCUUCUACCCCUUAACUAUUUGGAGGAUGUGACACUUGCAGUUGCUGCAGCCAUUGUGACUUAAGACAAGCUGACCUGAGGAUGAGGCAGAAAUACUAAGGAUGGCACAGUAGGAAAAUCAGAAAAUCUGGGUCCUUGGUGACAUAACAGCCUCUGAUUUGACCAACCCUGCAGCUGACCUUAACAGAGCUGGGGUUUUCAGUUGUUUCCACCAAAAAGCAUCAUAACUGAUAAUAUUGCUCCAGUGAACCCCUUCAGGAUAGACAGCCAUCAUUGAGGUUGCCCUUAGUACCUAGCAUGGUGUUGGGCACACAGUAACUGCUUGUUUGCUAAAACUGGGGAGGGAAGGAAAGCAGAGGAAAGUUCUAGGAACUGAAGUAAGCUCUCUUCAUAUAUAGAUAUGACUUGCUUUGUUAAACCCAACUUAUCGACACCUGGGUUUACUAUAAUUAUGAUAGCUCAAGAGAGAUUUCUCAAUUUACAAAAGGAUGUGUAUUUUUACCAUGGAUUACUUUAACUAUGUUCCCUAAUAUAAAGUCCUCAUACCAAACUCAGAGGGAACUGAGUCAAUAAACAUCCUUAUAUUCCCCCACAGCUUUCUGUUGCACCAGCAAAGAAGUGUUAGAAAUUCUGCAGAUUCUUCAAAGAAGUUUCCCCUGAUCUUCCUCUACCUGCAUAGUACUUGUAAGAUUACUGUAAGACAGAAAAAAAAAGUCUGUCUUAGAUUUUAUACCUGGAGAUAGAACUCUUUUCAGUUUGAGGCCCCUUCAAAGAUAUCAGAAUUUUUUUUUUAGUCUCCCCUAGUCUAAGAAGUCUUCCUUCGACUUUUUUGUAAGCUACCACACUGUUUCCGUUUCUUUCCCAUCUAGCUUCUUGAAAGGGUAGUCCCCAUUUGUGCUCUCACUCUCCCAACUCCUCAGCCUGCCUCUCUUUGACUGCCACCACCAGCACUCCACUGAAACCACUCUUUCAAAGGUCACCAGUGUACUAAUUGUCAACUCAUGGCUUCUUUUAGGUCCUCGACCUACUUGACCUUUCUUGCAGUUAACACAGUUAACCACUUCCUCUUUCUUAAAACUUCCCUAGUCUUCCACAAAUCCAUGAUCUCCUUGUUCACCUCCUCUCUUCUGUUACUUCAUAAGCUCCUCCACUAGUUCUCCCAGCAGUGCUGUUCAAAGUGUGGUCCUUGGACCAGUGCCAGUCUGUAAACUGCUCGUGUUUAGUCCACAAGGAGAUAAGUACAGAGGUUAAGAGUAAAUGCUUAGCAGCAUUUAUAGGAGUUUCACAUUUAAGCAAUAUCCAAGCAUGUGAUCAUUGGACACCCCUCAUUAAACGGAGUAUAGAGUGGUUCAGAUGUUCUCCAACCCGCGUGGUGAGUUGCAGAGAACCCAAGCUAAAAGAUGCGGCAUCAGGAGUGUCCUGCAGACAAUAGGGAUGGGAUAUUGGAGUUGAGUUCCUCACUGAUUUUGUGGUGAUAAAGACCCAGGGCAUGGUCAUUUGUUCAGCACCUCAACCACGUGAACCAUGGCUUAAGAAUCAGGAAAUAAGAGUCUGAAUCUCCAAAUUACAGACCCAAAGUCCAUGCACCACAGUCAUCUAUUUCAUAAAAGAGGUAACAGGUCUUCAAAGUCUGUCUAAUCUCUUUUUUUCUCUAAAUUUCUAUAAGGUUAGUAUGGUAGCACCAAGCCAACCGUGGCACU